rnacentral:lncRNA from 1 species
UUUGUUUUUUUGUUUUGUUUUGUUCUUUUCUUUCUAUUUAAUAUUUUAUUUCUGUUUUCUUUUUAUUGCACAAUAAUUUUAGUUUAGUAAAAUAUGACAAUAGCCCCUAAAAUAAUGUUCCAGAAUAAUCCACUGUCAUAAAAAGUUUUACCCCGAAUUAAAAUAGUUUAGCAAUCUAUAAAAUACCAAAGGCAUUUAUGUAAUUGUUUUUGCUACGGUUUAAAUCAUUUUAGAGUGUUUAAGCAUUUUUUUAAAGUGUGGUUUCUCCGCCAUAAUUACCUAUGCAUUAUUUGGCUCACUCUGAACAUUUUAGUUUUAAUAUUUGAAAACUUUUAUUGUUUGUAUUUAAUUAAAAUUUUGAAUUUGAAUCAUUUUGAACUAACGUGAGUUUAUUAACAGAAAUCGAGGUGACGUGGCAUCAUUAGUGGAGGGUUACUGUAGCUUAAUUAUCCGGGCGUCACAUAUUCUCCUCCACUACAAGAAAUCUCGUCCUGAGAUUUAAGAGGGGAGUAAGGGGGAAGAAUAGGUUACAAAAUUCUAACGAUUCUUCUCGGUCAUUGGUUGCUCUUCUCGAAAAGGUCGAUCUAUUACGUAGAUGUCUUCAUUUCUCUGCUUCAGGUCAUCAUGAUGAAGUAGGCAUCAUUUCUUUGGCGUCGUACUUACGGAAGAAUAAGGGGGUAUUCUGGAAGAACGGACCUCGGCAAGGUUGACUAUUUGGUCGAUAACAUCGGGGGAGGUGGCGGAAAGUAACUCUCGAAUUGAAACUUAAGAAGAUAUCGAGAGCAAAGUAAGAAGGUACCAUGAGAAGUUUCGAGCGGGCAGGCAAUCGUUUGAUGCCUGAAACAGGGCGUGAAAGGGGUUCAGAGCAACAGGAAUAAGUAUUGUGUUUGAUACCAGAAUUGAUUACUAAGAAGGUGGCUCAUGAUCUACAUAAGAAGCCAAGCAUGUCGAAUAACUUUAGAAACAUGGAUGUACAGGAGAGUCAGGUUUCGAUCAUGUGGAACUGUGGGUUAUGGGCCCAUCAUGUGGGUUAAAAUAAGGAAGGGCGUUGACAUCUUGCAUGGUCAUGAUAGCAAGGCAUGUUAGAUAAUAACCGGUCAGUUAUGUUGGCUACAUCGUUGGUACCAAGGGCGGGGGAUGAAGGGAACCAUUUUCCUGCUCGUUAAAACGAGGUGGACCAAUAGGCAAAGUUCUCGUCCAUCGGUGGUUACCGAAAUGUCAUCAACAAUAGUAACACGGUCUUACUGACAAGGUUGUACACCAGGGUGUUUACAUAAGCAGUGAAUCAUUACUGCUUAGAUCAUAUAAACCACGAGAAAGGUUAAACAAGACAAUGGAAAGGAAAUGUGAUUAUCAGAUUAAACAGAACAAUGGAAAGGAAAAUGUGUUUAAACACAUAUUUCAGGGGUAUAUCCUUCCUAAGGACAAGCAAAGCACGAUAUCCAUGACAGGAUAGAAAGUAGAAAACCAUUUAGGUAAUGGGAGAGGAAUUUCAUGGCAUUACCCAUACAACGGUGAUUGGAUAAUGGAUAAAGAAAACUUAGCAUUGCGCUUCCAAUGCUCUUAUUGAUGUUUGAGUACCACAGUCAUGCUUAGAGAUAGCAUUGGCAUGGUCGUCAAGCAAAGAUCGAACUUUGGAUACACAAAGGAUCCAUCAGGAACAACUUAUAGAAUAAGUCUUACAGUUUCCUCAUGGAAGAAUGGUUAACCUUGCUAAAAAGGAAACUAUAACAAUAGUUCCUUCGGCUAGGUGUGCUAGGCACGAUAUCACCUUACCGGGUCAUAUAAAGACCAAUGUUAUAACUCUUGGAAAUAUGUUCCCACCAUCAUAUCUGACCGAGGUUCAGAUCCGAUUGGUGUCAGGAUACCUCAGACUCAGGAUGCCUGAGAAGAAAAGGUGCAACACAAAUUGACGAGAUGUCAUUGUAAGAUUCUCGAGAAAUGAACUAUGGAAGCGAGUUCCGAAACAAGAGUUCAUCAUUUAACCAAGGAGAGGAUGAGGAGGUGGCUGAUGAACUCAGUGACAAUUCAUUGAGAUUUUCAAAGGAUGGAUUUCCACACUUAUGUGAACAAGGAGAUAACAUUUGUCAGAUCAAAUGUUAUAAUGAGGUAUGCUCGAGGAAAACAUACAUAGUUAAACAUUUGUUGAAAGGUGCACCCGAAAUAUGGGCUUAGGUAGCAUGAUCAGUGUUAGAAUGGUGAUUCGAUAACCAAUGGUCCAAGAAUGAAAUAUCGACCAUUAACUUCAAAGCAAUAGGGUUGCUAGAAGUUUUGAAGUCGCACAUCAUAGUUCAAUUGUCGGUUUUAUGGUUAGAAUCAACACGGGGACCAAGGAAUGAACGGAUAUGGCAAGAAGUAUCACCUGUAUCAAGAAUUCUUAAGAGGUGGUGAAAUUCUCACGACAUUCUUGACAAAAAAGAUGGUGAUACUCCAAGGUAAAGAACAAAUGCUGGAUAGCAAGGAUCUCAAGGUAUAACACGAAACACGAACAAGUUUGUGUUGAACGGAAGGCAAUAAAGUGGUCGAUGAUAACACAAAUCAUCGAGGGCAAGGAUGGUAUUUCUCAUCAUGAAUUCAAUUGAUAUCCUGGAAGAGCUCAGAAUGUUGAUGAUGACCAUGACAAAUUUUGUUGAGACGCUCCAUGAAGAAGCAAUUGAAUAGCGGCUACAUCAAGCAACAUGACUAAUGCAAAGAAAGAUUAUUGGAACCACGGAUAUGACACCAACUCAUAAUCAAGCUUGUUGUUCGAGGUGAAACUAUAAGACAAGGAAGAUUGACGUAAGCUUAGCUCAUCGCCGAAAGUGGUGCUCCGGAAAUAAGGACCAAGUAGCACAAUUAAAAUCAGCACGAUACUGAUAUAGCUGGUUAGGCUAGAAAUGACGUGAUCGAGUACAAACUCGUAAGUAAAGAAGAUUACUAAUAGUUGUUUAAUCACGAUGCGGACUUGAUUCAGUUAUCGGUGUCCUUGAGUGUUUAAUGACCCAGAGCCCGUGAAAAAAUUGGAAUCAGUGAGAAUGUAGUACUUGAUGGAGAACUCAUAAGAAGUUAUGCAGUUCCGUGAUAAUCUCGAGAUACCAGGGUGUAAUACUUGACGGAAGAUCAAAGUAAAGGUUGAUCCACAUAAGACAAGUGCUUAAACUUGCCUGAGAAAUGGGAUCAAAGAAGAACAUGUGGUCGGAACCACGAUUGACAAGGAUCAAUUCACCGAUACCAAAGGAUAUUACAUCAAGGAAAUAGUUAUUAUUAGAAGAAGCUUCCAUGAUAGGAUCUAGAUCGUGUCCAUGGGCAUGAACACAAUGUUCAAGGUCGACUCCCACUUCCUCAAUGCAUAACCUUCCAUUCACCUCUUGUAUUUCGAAAACGACAUUAGUUGUUGAAAGUUUUACCUGGUGCAAUACCAGAUAAGUAUGACCCAUGAAAUCUUUCGGGUUCACACAGAUUAGGGAAGGCGUUGGUUCAACCCAUCGGGGCAUCUUAGGAACAUAUACCACAAACUUCGGAGUAAAUAAUACAAGCUCGAAAGUAGAGUAUGGUUAUCAAAGCAGAGGAUACAAAUUACCAAAGGCAUUAUAUACCCAUGGAAAGGCUCACAAGGUUAUUGAAUAUGAAGGACACUCUCGGAAAAAAAUGCAACAAAGGAUCUGGUGGUCCACCAGGGAUAUGAUGUGAGCAUCGGUACUCAACCAGAAGAAGAAAGAAUGCAAGGGGUCAUAUUACAGAAACAACUAACUAAUUCCCAGCUCAAAUGCACAGGAAUUAUGAUUUCCAAGGCAGGGGACCAAAAGCAAACACUCUGAUAAGGAUGGGUAAGUUGAAUAGACUAAGGGGUACAAUCGACGGCAAUUUAAUUGGUCGAGAACCAGCUCCUGUUUAAAAUGACGUCUAAGCCAAAAGGAUGAAUUAUAGGAUCUGAUUGGGGAUUGCGAGCAUUCGUAGCAUAUCGAAUCAAGGGACCGAAAUGAUAGUGACAGAGGAUGUCAACAAGAUAACUAGAAGUAUGGAAUUAACCAUAAUGCAGGAAGGCAUGGAAUUCAGGAGCAAUAGGUUGUUGAGGAUUUUCAGAAAAUCGAAUGGUAUUUCAAGGACUUUUGUGAAACACAUGAUCAACUAGGGAUGAACGAAUCCUCGAUAAGUGUGAGGAAUUAUUUGCAGGUGUAUUCACGAUGAAAAGAGCUAACAGUAGGCACAAAGGAUUCUCGAGAUAUUGGAAAAUAUUCUGUGGUAUCUACUAAUAACAAGAGCAUCUUGGAAUGAAGGUAUGGACGACGACUGUAUGUAUUUAUCCAUAGGAAUAUAUCGGUGGUCGGAAAUAGCAAAAGCGGUGGGCACAAAGUAUCGAGAGAAUAUCGGAGAGUAUCUCUGGAAUCUUCUGGUGCACCAAGUAAUCAUCUGGAGUAAGGGCUCUCCGGGAGGAAAUAGUUACGAGAACCUAGAGUCGGCGUUAGUAAAAUCAUUUAACCCAAAUAGAAGAGAGAUCAGAGUCCCAGAGUAUAGGUCGAGGAAUAAAAUAUCCUAAUACCACCCAAUGGCGAUGUGGGCCCGUAAGCCACACAGCCAUGUUAGUAAAAGUUUUGCAAUGACUAGACUCAACUUCGGCCAAGGAGUUGGAAGGGGGAUUCCUACAGGCAGUCGACUCUGAUACCAACUUGUGACGCCCCCGAUUCAUUCGUACACUAAUCAUACAUGCAAACAUGUACGAUCAAGUUCAGGGACUCACGGGAAGAUAUCACAACACAACUCUAAAAAUAAAUAAGUCAUACAAGCAUCAUAAUACAAGCCAGGGGCCUCGAGGGCUCAAAUACAAGUGCUCGAUCAUAGACAAGUCAGCGGAAGCAACAAUAUCUGAGUACAGACAUAAAGUUAAACAAGGUGUCAUAAGAUGGCUAGCACAAACUGGGAUACAGAUCGAAAGAGGAGUAGGCCUCCUACCUGGGAUCCUCCUAAACUACUCCUGGUCGUCAUCGAUGGCCUGCACGUAGUAGUAGUAGGCACCCUCUGUGUAGUAGGAGUCGUCGAAGGUGGCGUCUGACUCCUGGGCUCCAGCAUCUGGUUGCGACAACCGAGAAGAAUGGAAAGGGGGAAAGAGGGAGAAAACCAACCGUGAGUACUCAUCCAAAGUACUCGCAAGCAAGGAUCUACACUACAUAUGCAUUGGUAUCAAUGAAAUGGGUAGUAUCUGUGGAUUGAACUGCAGAAUGCCAGAAUAAGAGGGGGAUAGCUAGUCCUAUCGAAGACUACGCUUCUAGCAGCCUCCAUCUUGAAGCAUAGAGAAGAGAAUAGCUGGUAAGUUCACCAAGUAACAUCGUAUAGCAUAAUCCUACCGACGAUCCUCUCCUCGUCGCCCCGUGAGAGAGCGAUCACCAAGUUGUAUCUGUCACUUGAAAAGGUGUGUUUUAUUAAGUAUCCGUUUCUAGUUGUCAUAAGGUCGAGGUACAACUCCAGGUCAUCCUUUUACCGAGGGACAUGGUUAUUCGAAUGAAUAAACUUCCCUGUAGGGGUGCACCACAUUGCCCAACACGCUUGAUCCCUCUGGCCAGACACACUUUCCUGGGUCAUGCCCGGCCUCGGAAGAUCAACACGUCACAGCCCCACCUAGACUCAACAGAGAGGUCAGCACGCCGGUCUAAACCCUAAGCGCGCAGGGGUCAGGGCCCAUCGCCCAUUGCACUCCUGCACGUUGCGAGGGCGGCCGGAAGCAGACCUAGCCCCCUUAAUACAAGCGCAGGCUUACAGUCCAAUCCGGCGCGCGCCGCUCCGCCGCUGACGUCAAAAGAGCUUUAGCUGAUACCACGACGUCGAGAGCCCAUAACUAUUCCCAUGUAGUUGGUUAGUGCGUAUAGGCUCGUAGCCAGACUCGGAUCAAAUACCAAGAUCUCGUUAAGCAUGUUAAUUGAUGUAACUGCGGACGCCGACCAGGGGCCAGGCCCACCUCUCACCUAGGUGGUCUCAACCUGCCCUGUCGCUCCGCCACAAAGUAACAGUCGGGGGCCGUCAGGAACCCAGGCCCACCACUACCGGCAUGGAACCACCUGUCCUUUCAGCCCCCACAUCGGAAUCACUUGCGGGUACUCUACGAGCCGACCCUACUUUAGUCACCACAUGUAUCAUAUAAUAUGUAUGUAAUUAUAUACCCGUGAUUACCUCCCGAGUGAUCACGGCCCGGUAGUAUAGCAUGGCAGACGGACAAGAAUGUAGGGCCACUGAUGGAAUACUAGCAUCCUAUACUAAGCAUUUAGGAUUGCAGGUAAGGGUAACAAUUGUAGCAACAAUGACAUGCUAUGCAACAAAAUAGGAUUAACCGAAAGCAGUAACAUGCUACACUACUCUAAUGCAACCAGUAGAGAGAAGGAAUAGGCAAUAUCGGGUUGAGCAAGGGGGGGGGCUUGCCUGGAAGCUCAGUCGAGAAGGAGGGGUCGUCAACACUGUAGUCGUACUGGGUAGCAGCGACGUUGAACUCGGUGUCUAACGAGAGAAGAGGGGGAAGAAACAAUAAAUAUAACAUAAGCAUGACAAUGCAUGACAUGACAAUGAGCGGUGCUAGGUGUGCCCUAACGUGGUAGUAGGUGAUACCGGUGAAGGGGGGAAAUAUCCAGGAAAGUGUUCCCGGUGUUUUGCGUUUUCGGGCAGACAGACCAGAGGGGGAAAGUUGCAUGUUCGCUAUGCUAGGGACGUGUGGCGGACAAAUGGGCUGUGUAUUCGGAUUCGUCUCGUUGUUCUGAGCAACUUUCAUGUACAAAGUUUUUCCAUCCGAGUUACAGAUUAUUUAUUAUUAAUUUUCAAAGUUUUAAUUCAUUUUCUAAAUUAUUUUAAUUCGAAAAUUAAAUGUUAAAUGCUACGGGUACACAUAAGUGUACCUAGAGGUGUACAAUGGGGCUGGCUGGUGGGGACAGGGGGCUGAGUCAGUAGCCCAGUCAGCAGUCAAAGUUUGACUGUUGACUGGUCAACCUGACCAGUGGGUCCCCAUGUCAUAGACACAUUAGAUAACUAAGUUCAAUUAGUUUAAUUAAAUAGAUUAAUUAACCUAAUUAGGUGGUUAGUUCAAUUAAGCCAAACUGAUUCACUAAUUAAUUAAUAUUUUAAUUCUUUUCUUUUUGUUUUCCAGGGCGUGGGGCUUGGCUGUCAUAGGCCCAAGCCAAACCGGGGAGGGUGCCGGGCGUGGGUGAUACGUCUCCGUUGUAUGUACUUUUCCAAACACUUUUGCCCUUGUUUUGGACUCCAACUUGCAUGAUUUGAAUGGAACUAACCCGGACUGACGCUGUUUUCAGCAGAAUUGCCAUGGUGUUAUUUUUGUGCAGAAAUAAAAGUUCUCGGAAUGACCUAAAACUUCACGGAGAUUAUUUUUUGAAAUAAUAAAAAAAUACUGGCGAAAGAAUCAAGGCCAGGGGGGCCACACACUGUCCACGAGGGUGGUAGGCACGCCUGCCCCCCUGGGCGCGUCCCCUGCCUCGUGGGCCCCCUGGAGCUCCACCGACCUCAACUCCAACUCUAUAUAUUCACGUUCGGGGAGAAAAAAAUCAGAGAGAAGGAUUCAUCGCGUUUUACGAUACGGAGCCGCCGCCAAGCCCUAAUCUCUCUCGGGAGGGCUGAUCUGGAGUCCGUUCGGGGCUCCGAAGAGGAGAAUCCGUCGCCAUCGUCAUCAUCAACCAUCCUCCAUCACCAAUUUCAUGAUGCUCACCGUCGUGCGUGAGUAAUUCCAUCGUAGGCUUGCUGGACGGUGAUGGGUUGGAUGAGAUUUAUCAUGUAAUCGAGUUAGUUUUGUUAGGGUUUGAUCCCUAGUAUCCACUAUGUUCUGAGAUUGAUGUUGCUAUGACUUUGCUAUGCUUAAUACUUGUCACUAGGGCCUGAGUGCCAUGAUUUCAGAUCUGAACCUAUUAUGUUUUCAUGAAUAUAUGUGAGUUCUUGAUCCUAUCUUGCAAGUCUAUAGUCACCUACUAUGUGUUAUGAUCCGGCAACCCCGAAUUGACAAUAAUCGGGACCACUCCCGGUGAUGACCAUAGUUUGAGGAGUUCAUGUAUUCACUAUGUGUUAAUGCUUUGGUCCGAUACUCUAUUAAAAGGAGGCCUUAAUAUCCCUUAGUUUCCAAUAGGACCCCGCUGCCACGGGAGGGUAGGACAAAAGAUGUCAUGCAAGUUCUUUUCCAUAAGCACAUAUGACUAUAUUCGGAAUACAUGCCUACAUUACAUUGAUGAAUUGGAGCUAGUUCUGUGUCACCCUAUGUUAUAACUGUUGCAUGAAUAAUCGCAUCCAGCAUAAUUCUCCAUCACCGAUCCAAUGCAUAUGAGCUUUUCACAUAUUGUUCUCCGCUUAGUUACUUUUCCGUUGCCACUAUUACAAUCACUACAAAACUACUACUGUUACUUUUGCUACUGUUACCGUUACUUCCAUAUUACUUUGCUACUAAAUACUUUGCUGCAGAUACUAAGUUAUCCAGGUGUGGUUGAAUUGACAACUCAACUGCUAAUACUUGAGAAUAUUCUUUGGCUCCCCUUGUGUCGAAUCAAUAAACUUGGGUUGAAUACUCUACCCUCGAAAACUGUUGCGAUCCCCUAUACUUGUGGGUUAUCAAGACUAUUUUCUGGCACCGUUGCCGGGGAGCAUAGCUCUAUUCUGUGAGUCACUUAGGAUUUAUAUCUGCUGGUCACUAUGAGGAACUUGAAAGACGAGAAAACUAAAAUAUAUCCCUCAACUACGAGGGGAGGUAAGGAACUGCCAUCUAGCUCUGCACUUGAUUCACCUUCUGUUUUGAGUAAGCUUGCGACACCUAAACCUGCUUCUGCUAUUAAUUCUGAUAUGUCCAUGUUAUUGAUGAUGCCACUUCUGCUAUGCAUGAUACUUAUGAUGAAACUACUUCUAUGUCAGAUACUACUGUGCCACUAGGUGAAUUUCUUGAUGAACAACUUGCUAGGGCUAGAUAGAAUGAAAUUAUUGAAACUGAUAAUAUUGGUGAAAGUGAUGAUGAAGAUUCUCACCCUAAAUAUGAAUUACCUGUUGUGCCUGAGGGUUAUGUUAUGGAUGAAGAAACUGCUAGAGACUUUCUUGCUUGCAAUGAUGGAAGUGAUCUUAAGAAAUUAUUAGUUAAGCUGAAAGAAAAAUCUCUAAAUGCUAGAAUGAAAUAUGACCCUGCUUAUGCUACUUCACCUAUCUUUGUUACUGAUAAGGAUUAUGAUUUCUAUGUCGAUCCUGAGAUAAUUACUUUGGUUGAAUCUGAUCCUUUUUAUGGCUAUGAAUCUGAAACUAUUGUGGCACAUCUUACUAAAUUAAAUGAUAUAGCCACCCUGUUCACUAAUGAUGAGAAAACUCGUUACUACUAUAUCCUUAAAUUAUUUCUGUUCUCAUUAAAGGAUGAUGCUAAAACAUGGUUUAAUUCUCUUGAUCCUGGUUGUGUGCGUAGUCCCGAGGAUAUGAUUUAUUACUUCUCUGCUAAAUAUUUCCCUGCUCAUAAGAAACAAGCUGCUUUAAGGGAAAUAUAUAAUUUUGUGCAAAUUGAAGAAGAGAGUCUCCCACAAGCUUGGGGGAGGCUUCUCCAAUUACUUAAUGCUUUGCCUGAUCAUCCUCUCAAGAAGAAUGAAAUACUUGAUAUCUUUUAUAAUGGACUAAUCGAUGCUUCCAGAGACCACCUGGAUAGUUGUGCUGGUUGUGUUUUCAGGGAAAGAACAAUUGAUGAAUCUGAAAUUCUGUUGAAUAAUAUGUUGAUGAAUGAAAACAAUUGGACACUUCCUGAACCAACUCCUAAGCCAACUCCGAAGAAAAGGGGCGUUCUAUUUCUCAGUCCUGAAGAUAUGCAAGAGGCAAAGAAAUCUAUGAAGGAAAAAGGUAUUAAAGCUGAAGAUGUUAAGAAUUUACCUCCUGUUGAAGAAAUACAUGGUCUUAAUUUACCGCCUGUGGAAGAAACACAUGGUCUUGAUAACCCGACACAGGUAGUAAAGGUAAACUCUCUCUAUAGAUAUGAUAAAGCUGAAAUCCCUCCUACUAAGUUUGCUAGCCAAUGCUUAGAUGAGUUUGAUAAUUUUAUGGUUAAGCAAGAAGAUUUCAAUGCUUAUUUUGGUAGACAAUUAAAACGCAAUGCUUAUAUGAUUGAACACUUGAGUGAUUAUAUGUCUAGAGUUAAAGGUGAACUUAAACUCAUUAGUAAACAUGCUUCUAUGGUUACCACUCAAGUAGAACAAGUACUUAAAGCUCAGAAUGAUUUGCUCAAUGAAUUAAAUAAUAAGAAGAAUGAUAAUGCUGUUAGAGUUGUGACUAGAGGGGGUAGAAUGACUCAGGAACCUUUGUAUCCUGAGGGCCACCCUAAGAGAAUUGAGCAAGAUUGUCAGAGAACUAAUGUUGAUGCACCUAGUCCUUCUAAAAGGAAGAAAAAGAAAAAUGAUAGGACUUUGCAUGCUUCUAGUGAACCUGUUGUAGACACACCUGAGAAUCCCAAUGAUAUUUCUAUUUCUGAUGCUGAAACAAAAUCUGGUAAUGAACAUGAACCUAGUGAUAAUGUUAAUGAUGAUGUUCAUGUUGAUGCUCAACCUAGUAAUAACAAUGAUGUAGAAAUUGAACCUGCUGUUGAUCUUGAUAACCCACAAUCAAAGAAUCAACGUAAUGAUAAGAGAGACUUUGUUGCUAGGAAGCACGGUAAGGAAAGAGAACCUUGGGUUCAGAAACCCAUGCCUUUUCCUCCCAAACCAUCCAAGAAAAAGGAUGAUGAGGAUUUUGAGUGCUUUGCUGAAAUGAUUAGACCUAUCUUUUUGUGUAUGCGUUUGACUGAUAUGCUCAAAAUGAAUCCUUAUGCUAAGUAUAUGAAAGAAAUUGUUACAAAUAAAAGAAAGAUACCGGAAGCUGAAAUUUCCACCAUGCUUGCUAAUUAUACUUUUAAGGGUGGAAUACCAAAGAAACUUGGAGAUCCAGGAGUACCAACUAUACCAUGCUCCAUUAAAAGAAACUAUGUUAGAACUGCUUUAUGUGAUCUCGGAGCCGGUGUUAGUGUUAUCCUUCUCUCUUUGUAUCGUAGACUUGAUUUGAAUAAGUUGACACCUACUGAAAUAUCUUUGCAAAUGGCCGAUAAAUCAACUGCUAUACCUGUCGGUAUUUGUGAGGAUGUGCCUGUUGUGGUUGCAAACGUUACUAUCUUAACGGACUUUGUUAUUCUUGAUAUUCCCGAGGACGAUAGUAUGUCUAUUAUUCUUGGAAGACGCUUUUUGAAUACUGCAGGGGCUGUUAUUGAUUGCAACAAAGGCAAUGUCACUUUUCAUGUUAAUGGUAAUGAGCAUACGGUACACUUUCCGAGGAAACAACGUCAAGUCCAUAGUAUAAACUCUAUUGGAAAAAUUCCAUCGAUUAUUUUUGGAGGUUUUGAAUUUCCUCUACCUACUGUCAAGAAGAAAUAUGAUAUUCUUAUUAUUGGGGACGUGCAUAUCCCCGUUGAGGUAACCUAGUGCUAUUCGAAAAUUCUCCGGUUUCAUGUGAUUCGGAAUGAGUUUGUUAACAAGACUUGAUCAACCUUGUUGUGGAUUCCUUUUGAUGAGCAUGAGAUGGAUGAAGUUAGAAAGCACAACCUUCUGUACCCUCCUUUUACUUUCUGUUAUUUAGAUUAAAUAAAGUAAAAAUAGUAUUUUCUGUCUGUUUUCUGAGUUAUCCGUGCAAUAAAAAAUACCCCAAAAAUAAAAGUUCUCCAAAUGCCCUGAAAAUGAAAUAUGAUUUCUUCUAGAAUAUUUGAGAAUAUCUAGCACUGAGAACACACCAGGGGAGCAAGCACCUGGCCACGAGGGUCCAGGGCACGCCCACCCCCUUGGGGCGCAGCCCCUGCCUCGUGGGCCCAUGGUGGCUCCCCUCCACUUAUUCCAGCCACCACACACUCCUUCUUCCUCCCAAAAAAUCACCAACCAGCUCAAGCACGAGUUCUUGCUUAUUUUGCUGCGAUUUUCGAUCUCCUUGCUCAAAGCUCCAUUCACAAAACUGCUUUGGGGGAUUGUUCUUCGGUAUAUGACUCCUCCAAUGGUCCAAUUAGUUUUUGUUCUAGUGCUUUAUUCAUUGCAAUUUUUUGCUGCCUAGGUGACCCUAUUCUUGAGCUUGCAUGUCAAAUCUAUAUGGUCCCAAGUAGUUCUAAUGCAUGAUAUAGUCUCUAGGCACUUGUGGGAGUAGUUGCUAUCAAUUUUGUUGAGUUUGGUUCACUUUUAUUUUGAAGUUACUAAAAUUUUCAGAAAUUUUUUAGAGGAAGAAAUAUGCUUAGGAAAUUGUACCAAGGUGGUUCUUCAAGAAAGCAAGGACCCAGGCUCGCAAUGCAUGAGCCGGACGAUGAACCACCGAGGGACGCUCAAGUACAAGCCUGUGAAUGGCCGUCAGAAAACUUCAUGGUCCGAGCAGGAAUUAAGGAGGAAUUUGAGGCAUCUGUGCGUAACGCCGAUUUGGAGAGCUUCGUGUCAGAUAAGUGCCCCCAACACUAUUACCUUACUGAUUCCUUUGUGAGAAGAUUUAGAUUUUCAUCAUCACGCAACUCUCACACGGUCCUGUUUGAUCUUUAUGAUAAAUCCUAUACCAUGGACCUAGAGGAUUUUAGCACUGCUUGUAAACUCCCGCAAUGGGGUAGUCCUAGUGAACCUCGCAAAUCUGAGUUUAGAGAUUUUCUUGCUAGUAUCACAGUGGGGGAAUCUAGAGACAUAACACAAGCUGCUACAUGGAGCAUUCAUUUUCCUGCUAUACAUUAUUUUGCUCUCUUUAUAGGCCGAUGCAUAAAAGGUAAGGAUGAGGCAUGCCACAUGUGUGUUCCUGAUCUCAGUGUUCUCAGGAGUGCUGUAUUAGGAGAUAAGCAUUAUAAUUUGGGAGCUAUUAUGGCACGUAGGUUGCAUAAUAACAGUUUGAAUGGAGAUUUGUUUGGUGGAAUUUAUGCAACCCGUUUAGCUAAUUAUCUUGAGAUACCUAUUCGUGAUUAUGAUAUGGAACUGCCUCCUGCUUAUCUAGAUUUUAAUGCCAUGGUUCGUCAUCAGUUUGUUGAGAGGAAUGAACCGCCUCUCCAGUACCGACUAAUCUUUGAUAGGCGUCACGCUAUCAAUAUUGUUCUCCCUGCUACUACUCUCUUUGACUUUCAGGCAAAGGGGAGAUAUGUUGAAAGUGCAACUAUCCCUGGUGGUUUUGGUAAUUCCUAACAACAUAUAGCUCAUUGAGCUAAUGCUAUUUCAAGAUAAAUAUUUCAGGAAAGCUCAAUGAUUGGCAUGGCAUGGAUUAGAAAAGUGGACCCCUCAAAAUGCCAAGGACAAAAGGAUUGGCUCAAGCUCAAAGCACAAGACUCUACAUUUUUCAUUUUAGUGAUCCAAGAUCACAUUGAGUCCAUAGGAAAAGCCAGUACUAUCAAGAGGGGGUGAGGUGUUGCUUAAUGAGUUCCUUGCUCAAAAUGCUUAGUGAUAUGCUCCAAAAACCCUCAACUACUUUCUCAUAUCCACAUAUGUCUCAAACCAAAAGUCAAACUCGGCCCCACCGAAACUUUCUAUCCGGCGCCACCGAGUUCACUUGACAUAGCCACUGCCAGAAACCCUAGUCUUUUCGGUCUCACCGAUAGGGAUCUCGGUCUCACCGAGAUGGGAUUGUAAUCUCUCUGUUUCCCUUCGUAACGUUUCGGUCAAACCGAGAUGAGCGAUAGGUCCCACCGAGAUUGCAAUGCAAACUCUCUGUUUCCCUUAUGUAACGUUUCGGUCCAACCGAGAUGAGCGAAUCGGUCCCACCGAGUUUGCCUGACCAACUCUCUUGUUAAUCUAUUACCAAAAUCUGUCUCACCAAGUUUUUGUAAUCGUUGUCACCGAGAUUACGUUAUGCCCUAACCCUAACGAAAUCGGUCCCACUGAGUUGACAUGUCGGUCCCACCAAAAAUCCUAACGUUCACAUUUUGAACUAAAUCGGUCCAACCGCGUUUCAUGAUUCGGUCCCACCGAGUUUGGUAAAUUGUGUGUAAUGGUUAGAUUUUGUGUGGAGGCUAUAUAUACCCCUCCACCCACUCUUCAUUCAUAGAGAGAGCCAUCAGAACAUCCCUACACUUCCAACAUACAUUUUCUGAGAGAGAACCACCUACACUUGUGUUGAGGUCAAGAUAUUCCAUUCCAACCACAUAAAUCUUGAUCUCUAGCCUUCCCCAAGUUGCUUUCCACUCAAAUCUUCUUUCCACCAAAUUCAAAUCCUGUGAGAGAGAGUUGAGUGUUGGGGAGACUAUCAUUUGAAGCACAAGAGCAAGGAGUUCAUCAUCAACACACCAUUUGUUACCUCUUGGAGAGUGGUGUCUCCUAGAUUGGCUAGGUGUCACUUGGGAGCCUCCUUCAAGAUUGUGGAGUUGAACCAAGGAGUUUGUAAGGGCAAGGAGAUCGCCUACUUCGUGAAGAUCUACCCGAGUGAGGCAAGUCCUUCAUGGGCGACGACCAUGGUGGGAUAGACAAGGUUGCUUCUUCGUGGACCCUUCGUGGGUGGAGCCCUCUAUGGACUCGCGCAAUCGUUACCCUUCGUGGGUUGAAUUCUCCAUCAACGUGGAUGUACGAUAGCACCAUCUAUCGGAACCAUGGUUAAAAAUCUCCGUAUCAACAUUGCAUUUGCUCCCUCAAACUCCUCCCUUUACCUUCAUAUGCAAUUGUUUUACAUUCCGCUGCUAUACUCUUAGAAUUGCAUGUGUAGGUUGAUUGCUUGACUUGUGCAAAGUUGCUAAAAUCUGCCAAGAACUAAAAUUGGGAAAAGGCUAGAUUUUUAUUUGGUCAAGUAGUCUAAUCACCCGCCCCCCUCUAGACAUACUUUCGAUCCUACCAGUGGUAUCAGAGCUUUGGUCUCCAUUUGCUUUGAUUUCCAUAGAUUUUGGUGGUCAUAUCCUUGGUUUCACAACCUAGGAGAGUAUGGCGUCUAGCGAGGGAAAUUACCACCGUAGAGGUCCUUACUUUGAUGGUACAAAUCUUGCUAGUUGGAAGCAUAAGAUGAAAAUGCAUAUUCUUGGACAUAACCCGGCCGUUUGGGCUAUUGUGUGUAUUGGCUUUCAAGGUGAAUUCUUUGAUGGGAGAGAACCAAACCGUGAAGCUACCGCGGAAGAGUUGAAGAUGCUACAAUACAAUGCUCAAGCUUUUGAUAUUCUCUUCAAUGGAUUGUGCCCCGAAGAAUUCAACAAACUCAGUCGUCUUGAGAAUGCAAAGGAAAUUUGGGAUACUUUGAUUGAUAUGCACGAAGGUACCGACUCCGUCAAGGAAUCCAAAUUGGAUGUGCUUCAAAGUCAACUUGACAAGUUCAAAAUGAAGGAUGGUGAAGGUGUCGCUGAAAUGUACUCUAGGCUUGCUCUCAUCACAAAUGAGAUUGCCGGCUUAAGAAGUGAAGAGAUGACCGACAAAUUCAUCAUCAAGAAGAUCCUAAGAGCCUUGGAUGGAAAAUAUGAUACCGUGUGCACACUGAUCCAAAUGAUGCCCAAUUACAAAGAUCUCAAGCCAACGGAAGUCAUUGGAUGAAUUGUUGCUCAUGAGAUAUCACUCAAGGAUAAGGAAGAGCUCCACAACAAGUCAAGUGAUGCUUACAAAGCCUCAUGUGAAGAUCCCACAUCAUCAAGUGAGAAGCAAACCUUCAAUGAAGAAUUGAGUCUAAUGGUGAAGAACUUCAACAAAUUCUACAAGAGAAGGAGCAAGGAAAGAAGCUCCAAGUCAAGAUCCUACAAUGACAAGAGAUCAUCAAGUCGCGAAAGAAAUUGCUACAAUUGUGGAAGACUCGGACACUACUCCAAUGAGUGUACGGCUCCCUACAAAAGAAGAUAAGAUUCUCCCAAAAGAAGGAGUAGAAGAGAAGAAUCACCACCAAGAGAAAGAAGGAGUAGAGAUGAUCGUUAUGAAUGAAGACCCUCUCGGAGAAGCAAGGAUUCGGAAAGGAAGGAUAAGUCAUCAAGGAGCUACACAAAAAGAAGACAUCAAGCUAUUUAUCACUCCGAAAGAAGUUAUCACUCCGACCCUGAAUAUACUCAAGAUGAAGGUGUUGCCGGACUAGCACUUGUGACAACCAACUCCUACGACAUAUUUGACUCUCCAAAUGAAGGAAUUGGGAGAUGCUUCAUGGCUAAAGGUCCAAAGGUAACACACCCCGAGUAUGUUGAUUUCAAUAGUGAUGAAGAUGAUUUGCUAGGAGAUGAUGAUUUACUUGUUGACAACUGUAGUUAUGAAAACUAUGAUGAACUUGCUAUUAAUCAUACUAAUCAAGAUAAAACGAAUGACGAUGAUAAGAAGGAGAUUGAGCGUCUAACGAAAGAACUAAACACUCUUAAGUCAGCUCAUGAAACUACCUUGUAAGAUCAUCGAGAACUUUUAAAGACUCAUGAUAAGCUACGCUUUGAAAAGCUCAACCUUCAGCAAGAACAUGAGUUUUUAAAGGCAAUCAAUGAUGAUCUUCAUAAGAAAAGUUCUUCUUACAUUGCCAAGCGUUUACUCUUGUCUACUUACAUGCCACAAGUUAAAUCUAGCAACAAGAACAAGAAAGAUUCUUCAUCUAGUAGUAACAACAAUCAUGCUAAAUCCAAUGUUGUUGCUUCUAGAAGUUCUCUUGAUUCCACUAAUGAUUCUCUUAGCCAAGUUACACUUGAGCAAGAAAAUAGCUUAUUGAAGGGAAUUAUAGAGAAAGGUGUUUACAAGAGCCUUGCCGGAAGUAAGCAAUUUGAGGAAAUUGUACGCAUGCAAGGAAGGCACCGGAAGAAUCAAGGUGUUGGUUUUGAACGAAAGUUCAAUGCCAAUGGAGUUGAGUGGGAAGAAGAUCAAUACCCAAGACGAAGUUUGUUCCUCAAUAAGAGAAGUAUGAUCCUACUUCUUUCCAAGGAACACAAGCUCAAGAUGAUCUUCCACCAUAAGACCACAAGCAAAAAGGCAAGGACAAGCUUCAAGUGGAGACUGAUGCAUUUGAAGAAGCACCUAAGGCCUUGGUCAAGUGGGUCCCCAAGACUACAUGAAGUUCCACUUCAUCAAGUACGACUACAACUCCAAGGAUUCCCAUCAAGAUGGUGUGGAUCCCUAAGAAGAAGAACUAGAGAGUUCUUGAGGGUGACUCCGCCAACAUACUUCACUCUUAUCAUUUUGGCAAGGACAAGUGCAAACAUCUUCCAUAUCUUGCACUAGUUCAUGGAGUCACAGACCCUCUUGUUGGUAAGACAAGGGACAAGGUAACCUAAUGCUUUCAUGGACAUCAUCUUGUGUAUACAUCACUCUAUGUCUAUGGAUAUCCUUGUUUGUUCCUUGUGGGACUAACCUGUGUAGGUAUUGAAAGUGCAACUCACUCCAAUGGAUUGCUCCGAAUGAUCUACAUCAACAUUGAGCAUCCACAUCUUCAUUAUCUACAUGAAGUCAUCAUCGACAAAACCCAAGGCUAGUUCAUCCCUCUUAGGGGGGAUAUCACAUCUAGGGGGAGCUUUACUCUAAGAAUUGAGCUAAAGCAACUCUAAUGGUGUGAGCACAACAAUGCUUUAUGUAAAGGUGGUAACCCCACUUGUGCUUAAACGAUGAGUAUGACCUAUGAUCAAAUGUUCUCAUUUGACUCCUAAGUCAAUAUACUCAUAUAUAGAUGACCUAGUCAUCGCCAAUGGCUUGAUAGAUGCUAGAGUGUUUGUGCAUGCUUUGUCACAUAUUUCAUUUGCCAUUUUAUUGUGUGAGCAUGCUGGAUGCAUAUUUUUCUCAUUCGAGGACAUCCAUUUGUUGCUUUGAUUGUUUGGCUUUUUCUCUUUUGCCAAAUGGAUGGACAAGAAUGCCUAAGAACUGCCUCUAGCUAUCUAUGCUUUCCUCGUCUCAAACUCUAUUCAUGCUACAUCACAAAGUUUGAUCAAGUCAGAUUCGAACCACUCUGUGUGAGGAGCACUCGGAGUCCCCGAUUCGUCAUAGACUUAAACUUCCAAAACCUCUUUGUGCAUUUCGGUCUGACCGAUUCAUCCUUUUCGGUCCUACCGAGAUCACUUAGUUGAUCUAGGUUUUCAAUCUCGGUGCAACCGAUUAGAACCUGUCGGUCACACCGAGUUGCAGUAACUGCCUGCAGUUUUCCAUCUCGGUGCCACUGAGUUGUUCCACUCGGUCACACCGACAGGGUCAGGUUAUAUAUACUGACGGGUCAAAUUUUGGAAAUUUUUCUGAAACCCUUCACCCACGCGUGACCUACUCUGCCUCUUCGGGUCUCCGGAUCGUCCUCUCACCACCAGCGACCUCCCACCGCUGGUCUUCGCCGCCGUCAACGGCAAUCUGCUCUGCCGUUGCCGCCGUAGCGAACACUCGCCGCUCUAGGGUAAGUGUUCGACCCCUUGUGCUGUCUUUUUCACUCUGAUUCCUAGCACAAGGACAAUGCCAUGUUUCUUGCCAUGAUUGAGAUUGAGCCAUCCAGCUAAAACUUCCUUAGGUCUAGAUUGAUUCGAAAAUUUUAGGGAUAGAUCUUCGCAGAACUUAUCUCGGACCAACCGAAAUGUAGAAAUCGGUCUCACCGAUUCGGCCUUGGCCAUUGCACAUGCGCUUUUCGGUCUGACCGAAACGUGCAAAUCGGUGUGACCGAGCUCAAGAUUCUGUGAAACCCUAGCAAUCUCGGUGCCACCGAACUGUGACUCGGCCCAACCGAGUUGACUAGUUUAGGUUCCAAGUGUUGCUUCGGUAUCCCCGAGUUUGUCAAUUCGGUAGCUCCGAGAUCACUUCUGUAGAGAACUAAAACUAAGCUUUUUGACUCAAUUGUUUUGCAAAACCUCUGUACUUUGUGAUGCUCAUCUACUCUACCUCAUCUACAACCUAUUCACAGGGUCUGCUGGCAGUUUUCCUGAAGAUGUCUGAUCAAAGUGACAGUCAGAACAAGUCUGAAGAGCAGGUUCAGAUGAGUGAGGGCACUAGUCCCUCCAUCAGCUAUGAUGAGGGCAGCGGGAGCACACCUAGUAACUUGCCAAAGGCAGCCACCAGGAUAAGGAAGAAGAGAACCUUAGAUUCUAAGGAUGAGGAUUAUGUGGCUGUUGAGGAUGAAGCCACUUCAAGGAAAAAGGUGCUGAAAAAGGAAUAUGGCACAGCUGCUGCAAGUAAGCCAGGACUGGAAACAAAGGCUCCAGCAAGAAGAAUGCCAAUGUCAAAGCCAAGGAAAGUUGCCACAGGUGAAACUAUGAAGUUCACCAUUGAAUCUGAAGAAGAGGUUGCUGGUGAGGACAAGAAGAAGAAGAGGGCAAGAACCACUACUGCCAGAGUUCUUGGCAAGCCCUCAAUGAAGAGAGAUUCUGAAGGAGAAGAGGAAGAAGAAGAGGAUGCUGCACUAGGACCCAAAGCUCAGAAGCUUAUGGGAGAUGCAAUCAGAUCAGGGGCUGCUCCAUCUAAGCCCAAGUCUGCUCCCAAAGCUCCAGCUCAAAAGUCUGCACCCAAGACAAGCACCAGGAACAUCCCUGCCGAGGAGAAGAACAAGGCCCCAGUGCCUCAAGUUGAAGAAGAAUAUGAUGAAGCCCAGUGCUAAGGAAGCUCAAGCCCAAGAUCCCUGACCACAAUGAUGCACAUCCUGUUGCAGAAAAUAUGAAGAUCAGGAAGGAUUCAGGACUGAGAUUGUGGAGACAAUCUGAUCCAUAUGCUAUCAGGAGGAGAACUGUUGUUGAUUACAGGUUCCACACAAAGGAACAACAAGACUUUUACGAGACUAUCCUGCUUGACAAGAAGCCCAUAGUAUGUGACAUGAGAUGGGUUGAUUGGGAAUACAUCAAGGAGAAUGAAGAUCACUUCCCAUGAGUUUAUGACAGCUUCAAAUCAUGUGGAGUUGAUAAAUUUGUGGCUCAGAAGCUCACCAAGUGGAAUGAUGAGCUGAUCAUGCAGUUUUACUCCACUGCCCACUUCUACCCAGAUGGGAAGAUCAUUUGGAUGUCAGAAGGUACUAGGUACCAAUCCUGUGUGGAAGAAUGGGCUCAGUUGGUCAAUGCCCCAGAAGAACAUGAGGAUGACUUGGAUGUCUAUGCCAAGAAGAAGAAGGAUCACAACUCAAUGGCACACAUGUACAAGGAGAUUCCCGGUGCAGACCUGGAGACUCAUCAAUUUGGUUCUGUAAAGCACUUACUAUCAGGCCUGCCUACAAUCAAUUGGAUUCUAAGGCACACAUUGCUACCAAAGUCAGGAAAUCACAGAAUGAUCAGAGGACAUUACAUCAACUUGCUGCAUAUAUUUGAUGUUCCUCAAAAGUUCAAAGUCAUGAGUCUGAUUGUGGAGACAAUCAAGAGGACAGCUGCAGGUCAGAAGAGAUCUUGUGGGUAUGUGGACUCACGAGAAAAUGGCUGGUCACCGGGAUGCCCAGUCCCAUGCUCUAAGCAAAUCAAAUCAAAAUAAUUGCAAACAAAACUCCCCCAGGAUUGUUGUUAGUUGGAGGCACCCGUUGUUUCGGACAAGCCAUGGAAUGAUGUUUGUUGGUGGAGGGGGAGUAUAAACUUUACCAUUCUGUUUGAGAACCACCUAUAAUGUGUGUAGCAUGCAAGAUAUCGAGAUCUCUCGGUUGUUAUGUUGACAAUGAAAGUAUGCCACUCAAAAUAUUAUUUAUCUCUAUUUCAAAAUCGAGCUCUGGCACCUCUACAAAUCCCUGCUUCCCUCUGCGAAGGGCUUAUCCAUUUACUUUUAUGUUGAGUCAUCACCCUCUUAUUAAAAAGCACCAGUUGGAGAGCACUGUUGUCAUUUGCAUCCAUUACUAUUAAUUUAUAUUGAGUAUGACUAUGACUGGAUCUCUUUUACCAUGAAUUACAAUGUUUAGUCACUCCUUGAUCUUUAAAGGUGCUCUGCAUUUAUGUUUUGCGGUCUUAGAAAGGGCUAGCGAGAUACCAUCUUGUUAUAUCAUAUUAUGAUUAUUUUGAGAAAGUGCUGUCAUCCGAGAUUUAUUAUUAUUGCUCGCUAGUUGAUUAUUCCAUUGAUAUGAGUAAACAUGAGACCUAAGCGUUAUUGUGAAUAUGGUUAGUCAUAAUCUUUGCUGAAAACUUGAAUGUUGGCUUUACAUAUUUACAACAACAAGAGCAAACAGAGUUUAUGAAAGUUUUUUUAUCACUUUCAGUUUAUCAACUGAAUUGCUUGAGGACAAGCAAAGGUUUAAGCUUGGGGGAGUUGAUACGUCUCCGUCGUAUCUACUUUUCCAAACACUUUUGCCCUUGUUUUGGACUCUAACUUGCAUGAUUUGAAUGGAACUAACCCGGACUGAUGCUGUUUUCAGCAGAAUCGCCAUGGUGUUAUUUUUGUGCAGAAAUAGAAGUUCUCGGAAUGACCUAAAACUUCACGGAGAUUAUUUUUGGAAAUAAUAAAAAAUACUGGCGAAAGAAUCAAGGCCAGGGGGCCCACAGCCUGUCCACGAGGGUGGGAGGCGCGCCUGCCCCCCUGGGCGUGCCCCCCUGCCUCGUGGGCCCCCUGGAGCUCCACCGACCUCAACUCCAACUCUAUAUAUUCACGUUCGGGGAGAAAAAAAUCAGAGAGAAGGAUUCAUCGCGUUUUACGAUACGGAGCCGCCGCCAAGCCCUAAUCUCUCUCGGGAGGGUUGAUCCGGAGUCCGUUCGGGGCUCCGGAGAGGGGAAUCCGUCGCCAUCGUCAUCAUCAACCAUCCUCCAUCCCCAAUUUCAUGAUGCUCACCGCCGUGCGUGAGUAAUUCCAUCGUAGGCUUGCUGGAUGGUGAUGGGUUGGAUGAGAUUUAUCAUGUAAUCGAGUUAGUUUUGUUAGGGUUUGAUCCCUAGUAUCCACUAUGUUCUGAGAUUGAUGUUGUUAUGACUUUGCUAUGCUUAAUGCUUGUCACUAGGGCUCGAGUGCCAUGAUUUUAGAUCUGAACCUAUUAUGUUUUCAUGAAUAUAUGUGAGUUCUUGAUCCUAUCUUGCAAGUCUAUAGUCACCUACUAUGUGUUAUGAUCCGGCAACCCUGAAGUGACAAUAAUCGGGACCACUCCCGGUGAUGACCAUAGUUUGAGGAGUUCAUGUAUUCACUAUGUGUUAAUGCUUUGGUCCGGUACUCUAUUAAAAGGAGGCCUUAAUAUCCCUUUGUUUCCAAUAGGACCCCGCUGCCAUGGGAGGGUAGGACAAAAGAUGUCAUGCAAGUUCUUUUCCAUAAGCAUGUAUGACUAUAUUCAGAAUACAUGCCUACAUUACAUUGAUGAAUUGGAGCUAGUUCUGUGUCACCCUAUGUUAUAACUGUUGCAUAAAUAAUCGCAUCCGGCAUAAUUCUCCAUCAUCGAUCCAAUGCCUACGAGCUUUUCACAUAUUGUUCUCCGCUUAGUUACUUUUCCGUUGCCACUGUUACAAUCACUACAAAACUACUACUGUUACUUUUGCUACUGUUACCAUUACUUCCAUAUUACUUUGCUACUAAAUACUUUGCUGCAGAUACUAAGUUAUCCAUGUGUGGUUGAAUUGACAACUCAACUGCUAAUACUUGAGAAUAUUCUUUGGCUCCCCUUGUGUCGAAUCAAUAAAUUUGGGUUGAAUACUCUACCCUCGAAAACUGUUGCGAUCCCCUAUACUUGUGGGUUAUCAGUGGGCGCCCGUUUGUGUGCACCACGGCACCCAGAGGGGUGCCGGCGGGCACGGCGCCGGCCGGGGUAGGGCGAGGCUGGGCCGGGGCACCAGAGGCAACGGGUGGCGCAAGCGCGCGGUGCAAGGGCUGGCGAGCGGCGCGGGACGGCGUGCAGCGAGCGGCGGAGCAGAGGUCGUGGGUGGGGGCGAGGCCACGCCAGAUGCGGUGACGGCGAAGGUAGCAGUGGAGGCUGCGGCGGAGGGAGGCAGCAGCCGCAGCAGUUGGCAGCGGGCGACACGGGGCGGAGUAGGACGAGGUGGGGCGAUGAUCGGUGCAGAUGCGGGUGGGCAGGCGCGGGGCUUGGCCAUGGCGGCCAGCGUCAGGCACGCACGCGCAGGUGGAUGCAGGCACGGGUGGUGCGCGAGCGUGCGCGGGUGCAGUGCUCCAGGCGCGGCCACGGGAGGAAACGGGCGGCGGCUACGGCGACUGAACGAGGGGGGAGCAGGGAGGUUUGAAGGGGAGGCUCACAGCGGAUUCGGAUGAGGUGCUUGGGGAGCCCGGGGGUGCCGGAGUCGAGGGGGUCGAUGGCAAGGUUCCGAUGGCCGCGGGCGUUGACGGAGACGACGAGGUCGAUGCACUGCUCUCCGAGACNNNNNNNNNNNNNNNNNNNNNNNNNNNNNNNNNNNNNNNNNNNNNNNNNNNNNNNNNNNNNNNNNNNNNNNNNNNNNNNNNNNNNNNNNNNNNNNNNNNNNNNNNNNNNNNNNNNNNNNNNNNNNNNNNNNNNNNNNNNNNNNNNNNNNNNNNNNNNNNNNNNNNNNNNNNNNNNNNNNNNNNNNNNNNNNNNNNNNNNNNNNNNNNNNNNNNNNNNNNNNNNNNNNNNNNNNNNNNNNNNNNNNNNNNNNNNNNNNNNNNNNNNNNNNNNNNNNNNNNNNNNNNNNNNNNNNNNNNNNNNNNNNNNNNNNNNNNNNNNNNNNNNNNNNNNNNNNNNNNNNNNNNNNNNNNNNNNNNNNNNNNNNNNNNNNNNNNNNNNNNNNNNNNNNNNNNNNNNNNNNNNNNNNNNNNNNNNNNNNNNNNNNNNNNNNNNNNNNNNNNNNNNNNNNAAGAUCUGGGGGUGCUGACGAGGCCGAGAGACGGGGGCUUGGUCUUAUCCCCACGGCUGCGUGGGUUGGCUCGGGUGGGCCGAGGCCCACGGGAACAGGGAAAGGGGGGCCUUUCUUUGGUUUUUUUUUGUUCUUUUCUUUUUAUUUAAUUUUUUUUCUGUUUUCUUUUUGUUACACAUUAAUUUUAGUUUAGUAAAAUAUGACAAUUGCCCCUAAAAUAAUGUUCCAGAAUAACCCAGUGUCAUAAAAAGUUUUACCCCGAAUUAAAAUAGUUUAGCAAUCUAUAAAAUACCAAAGGCAUUUAUAUAAUUGUUUUUGCUACGGUUUAAAUAUUUUAGAGUGUUUAAACAUUUUAUAAAAGUGUGAUUUCUCCUCCAUAAUUACCUAUGCAUUAUUUGGCUCACUCUGAACAUUUUAGUUUUAAUAUUUGAAAACUUUUAUUGUUUGCCUUUAAUUAAAAUUUUGAAUUUGAAUCGUUUUGAACUAACGCGAGUUUAUUAACAGAAAUCGAGGUGACGUGGCAUUAUUAGUAGAGGGUUACUGUAGCUUAAUUAUCUGGGCGUCACAAUGGGAGCCAAAAAAUGAAUAUGGGAACCCAGAGAAAGAAUAAUAUAGGACUCCAGAGAAAGACUCAAACCAAAUGCUCCGUUAAUUGAUAUUUGUAAUAAUUUGGAGAUGAAGGAAUAGAGGUGAUUUUUAAAGUACUUCUUUUUGCAUAAAAAUAUUCAAUCUCACUAAAGAAAAGUGUUUGUAGAACUGGACAUGAGAGUUUCUUCGCAUCCAGCUCCUCGCAAAUGGAAUGAGAAAGCAUGCAAAUUUAUCUAAUUCUAGCCAUCUAUUGCAUCUCGAUCGGCUCUACCAUCAUGCUACCAUCCAGUUUCUUCAAAGUGCUAAUAUUUUUUACUCCGCAUUGAAGCUCUCACAUGAAAAGAAAAGUGUGUAUUUUUAUCUCCAGCUGGGAGUCAUUCCACCCAAGACUGUUGAUGCCACAUGAGUUCUUCCAGGUAGUAAAUCUCAACAAGUCUAUUGUUAAUCUUAUUAUCGAUAUGUGAAGGGCCUAUGCUUGUUGGGUUAUUACAUAGAUCUUCCUACUCUUUUUCCAAAUUAUUUAUCUCCUUUCUAACAUUGCCGAAAGACUCAAACAAAGAUCAAAAGGUAGUCUAGCCAACUUGGAUCAAACAUCUUCCACCGUUGAUUCAUGGUCGUUCGACUGCCAUGUAGCAUCAACGGUUUGGUUUAAGUCUUCAUGGGCAUCCCACGUCACUUCAUAGUGAAACUGGAUAUUCCACCGCCUUCAUUUGUCUCGUUCUCUAGCUACAGCAAGAUCGGAGAAUGAUCUAAGGCGCUGUGGUAAGGUGACUCAACGGUGCCAUAGGGAAUUGUGAUCCCAUUUAGCUAAGCCAAGUGCUCGGUCCAAUCUAAUCCUGGUGUAGGAACCACCCUUUUGAAAGUCCAAAAUCAGCCAUGUUGACCCAAAUCUUCAAGCCCAAAAAUGGCAAUUGUAUCCACGAAUGCAUUCAUAUGUGCCUGACUGUGUUCCCCCACUCUGAUACGUCUCCGACGCAUCUAUAAUUUUUUAUUGUUUCAUGCUAUUAUCAUACCACUUUUACAUAUUUCUUGAAAACAAUUUAUAUUAUUUCUAUUUGGACUAACCUAUUAACCCAGUGCCAAUGGCCAGUUCUUGUUUCUAUUGUUUUGGGGGUUUUAGGUGAAAAAUUCAUAGAGCCGGAAUGACGUGAAACUUUACGUGGAUUUUUUUAGUGUACAUAUCUGAAAUUAUGGCCCAAGAAUCAACAAAGGACGAGGGCCAUGGGCCUUACAAUCCACUAGGGCGCGCCUACCCCCCUAAGGCGUGGGGGGCUGGCUUGUGGCCAAACUGUAAGUCAGCUGGAGCUCUCCUUCGGCUGCAAGGAAGCUAAUUAUGAGAAAAACCCAUGUUAAAUUUUCAGCCCGGUCGGAGUUAUGGAAUUUUGACUAUUUAAGAAACGGUUCUCGGCCAGAAAAGAGGACCAAAAACAAAUAGAAACCCUAGAUAAAAAGAGGAGGAGAGAUCCAAUAUCGUAGGGGCUCCCGCCCUCUGGGGGCUAUUUAUGCCAAGGACCAGAGGGGGGACCCUUCUCACAUCUAGGGGAAAGCCAAGCAAGAAGAAGAAUAAGGGGGAGUGGGGCCUCUCUCUCCCUCCCUCUCCCGGUGGCGCCAGAGCGUGUGGCCGGGGAAACCAUCGUGAUGGCGGUCUACUCCAACAACUUCACUGUCGUUAUCGACAACUUUUUCCCUCUCCGUGCAGCGGUGUAUCCUCUCUCACCCCAUUGUAAUAUCUACUUGAGCAUGGUGCUCUAUGCUAUAUAUUAUUAUCCAAUGAUGUGUUGCACCUCUAUUAUGUUUGAGUAGUUUCCUUUUGUCCUAUGGUCUAAUUGUUGUAUGGUAUGAUUGAUAUGAGUUGUAUGGUCUAUUAUGGUGUUGUCCUAUGGUUCCCGUCGUGUCGCGCAAGCGUGUGGGAUCCCCACUGUAGGGUGUUGCUUUAUAUUAACGAUUUUCUUAUAAUCGGUAGCAGGAGUGACUCAAGCCUAAUCUCGAGUUCGUGAGUUGUUGCAUAUGGGAUUAAAGGGGACUUUUGACUUAAUGCUAUGGCUGGGUUUUACCUUAAUGAAUCUUUGUUAGUUGCAAAUACUUGCUAGAGUUCCAAUCAUAAGAAUAUAUGAUUCAAGUACGAAAACUAUGUUAGCUUUGGUCUCUCCCUCAUAAGUAUGAUGAAUAUCAUUAUCGUGUCAUAUGCAAUUGCCUAGGGACAAUCCUUUUCUCAUUGUUCUCAAGAAAACCUUUACUUUAUUGUUCUUUUACUAAAACAGCAACCAACUCCUUAUUAUGUUGCAAAGCUAUAUUUUAUUCUUGUGAAGUAGUUUUAUUUCUUGUUUCUAGGUAAAGCAAACAUUAGUGUGCGUAGAGUUGUAUCAAUGAUCGAUAGAACUUGAAAGAAUAUAAUUCUACCUUUAGCACGUCGUUGAGUUCGACACUCUUAUUUAUCGAAAAGGCCACAACUGAUCUCCUAUACUUGUGGAUUAUCAAGAACUUUUAUGGUGUCGUUGCCAGGAAGCAAUAAUGUGGGGUAAAUAUUCUCGUGUGUGCUUGUUUGCUUUAUCUCUAAAUAGAUUUUAUUUUCUGUUCUAAAUUGUUCUUUAUCUUUAGUUAUGAGUAUGGAAUAUGAAAUACCAAAAAAAUUAGUUGUACUUGCUACUUAUGAAAAUGGUGAACCUCCAAAAACCCUCGAUGUUGGCUAUGCGUGUAACAUUGAAAUUUCUUUCAUAACCCUGAUAAAUCACCGUUCAACGUGAUAAUAGGAUAUGAAAGAAAUAUGCAAUAUUCCAUUGUCAUGGUUGGAUCAACGUGAAUACUUUAAGGAUUAUCGCUUUACUCAAAAAGAGAAGUUUUUUUUAGAAAAGGAGGAUGACCCCCGGCCUCUGCAUCUGGGCGAUGCAUAUGGCCACUUUAUUAAUUAUUCUCACAAGACCUUACAAAGCCGUACAACAGCAAGACUAAAAGCCACCGUCUAAGCAACAACUGUCGCUACACCUAUCCAAUUGAUGAAGGGACGCAGAUAGUCUGGGCCUAAUACCAAACAGACAUCGCAGCCAAACCUAAACAUCUAAGACCUGAGGUCCCAACCAGGAUGCCUGCCGGGUAUGGGGCACCUACCAGUCCGGCGCACUCCUCAACCAGGACGCCUGCCGGGUAUGGGGCCGCCGCAGCCACCUGCCACCAAUCCAUCUUCAGAGUUGUACUGUUGCAUGUACCGUGCCAGGUCUCUCUGCCAUCGACGCCACCACGACGCCCGACAGCGUCGUCCUCCUGCGCGAGUCUAUCCUCCCACAGCGAACUCCGAAUCUGCACUGCGCCACGCCGUCAAGAUCCAUCGCCAUCAGUGUGUAGGAUGAAGCACCACUCCACUAAAGAAACUGUCCUCUGGUCCCUCGAUCACGUGUGUACCUCCAAGAAUGACGCCCCCAAGGGAGGAACGACACCAGAGCGCCGCCGUCAUCCGAUCAUCCGAUCUGGGGUUUCCCCCGGAGGUAGCAGAGAGUGGCCUUGAACUUCUCCACGGUGAUGCCUUCAAGAAGGGAACGACGCGGAUAGCGCCGCCACCGCCGGCCUUAGCAGGAGCCGAAGGCAAGUUUUCACCCAGAUCAGUUCGAAGGGAUCCAACUCUCGUGCCCGGGCCGCCGUCACCACCAGCACCACCAGGCAGACCCUGGAGUACCGGCAGAUCAGCGAGCCGCCGGCACCACCGCAUCCAGAUCGCCGGCCAUGCCGGGCCGCCGCCAUCCCCCGCGAUGUCCGGGUCAGAGAGGGAGCCGCCGACCGCGCACAGGGACCGCUGCCGCCUGCACACGCCGGAGCGCCGCCGAGAGCCCAGCGCCCGCCACCGCUUGCCGAAGCCAACCGCCCGAGCACUGGCACCACCGUGGAGCCAUCAGAUCGGGGAGGAAGACACGCGCCGAUCACCCUCGCGGACCCCGCCGCACGCCCGAGUGCCGGCGCCACCGCGACGCCAUCAGAUCGGGAUGAGGAGGAGCCUGCGUGCUCGCCGCCCCGCGCAGACCACGCCGNNNNNNNNNNNNNNNNNNNNNNNNNNNNNNNNNNNNNNNNNNNNNNNNNNNNNNNNNNNNNNNNNNNNNNNNNNNNNNNNNNNNNNNNNNNNNNNNNNNNNNNNNNNNNNNNNNNNNNNNNNNNNNNNNNNNNNNNNNNNNNNNNNNNNNNNNNNNNNNNNNNNNNNNNNNNNNNNNNNNNNNNNNNNNNNNNNNNNNNNNNNNNNNNNNNNNNNNNNNNNNNNNNNNNNNNNNNNNNNNNNNNNNNNNNNNNNNNNNNNNNNNNNNNNNNNNNNNNNNNNNNNNNNNNNNNNNNNNNNNNNNNNNNNNNNNNNNNNNNNNNNNNNNNNNNNNNNNNNNNNNNNNNNNNNNNNNNNNNNNNNNNNNNNNNNNNNNNNNNNNNNNNNNNNNNNNNNNNNNNNNNNGCCCGACCUGCCGCCGAGCCGAGCGCCGCCGCGAGGGCCGGCCGUCCCGCGCCGCCCAGGAGCCUCGCGAGGGGGAGGGAGCCCCGCCGCCGCCGACGCACGCACGGGCUUUGCCCAGCGGUGUCCCCUGGCGGCGGCGAGGGAGAAGGAAGGCGAGAAAGGGGAGCGGCGGCGGUGAUCUAGGGUUCCGCCGGGCCGCUCGCGGGAGCGGCACGGGGGACGGGCGAAAGAAAUCCCUCCACGCGGUUGGCUCGAUGCUAGUACCCCUCAAAAAGGGAAGUUAAAAUAUUAUGAUGGUAUGCUUGGAAUAUGCGCUCUAUAUAUGAUGAAUGCUCCACACCUUCCUUUCCAAUGUGAUGAAACAUUUACUUCUUAUGCAAAUGAUGUAUAUGAUUUAUUGCUUUUAAAGGUGCUUAUGAAAUUGUUUCAUUGCUUGAAAUACUAAGAUUUCAGAUUCAUCCUUGAAGAAUAGCAGUGUGUAGAUUGAAUACUAUGCCGGGGAACAUGAAGGUGAACUGGAAAAAGAAAUACAUGGUUUUAGGGAAGAUUCAGUGGUAGAGAUCAAAGGGGUAGCAAGCUCAGUGGCAGUGUGGCAGGGCGGUCCCGGUCAAUUCUGUAGUGUGAUUGCACUUGCGUGGAUGCUAUCUUUGUAAUCGGAAAAACGAAACAAACGAUUGGGUCAAGAUUGAUGUACAAGUGGAUGCAUUAAGUUACCAUUGGUUCAUAUUUUACAAAUCACCAAGUCCCAGCAGCUCUCCUAUGUGAUCAGACCUGCAUUAAUCAACAAAGGAUCUGUGCGAUACCCUCUCAUCCAUCACUCGUCAUACAAAACCAAAGCACGUUCGUUACACGGACGCGCGUUCGUCCAUUUUGCUGCUGAGCUGACAGAAAUUGCUCGACCACCGACCACUUAAGAGGAACCCAAGGUGUCGAAGAUGGUGGUGUGCAGCGGGUCGCUGAG